GCGGUGCAAGGCCCGGCCCGGCCCGGCCCGGCUGGCAGGAGUGGAGAGUCCCCCGCUAACAGCAGGGUUCAUAAUGCUUUAAAUAACGUGCUACCGCACGGAGAGAGGAAAAAGUAAAGCUAAUCCUUAGUGUUAUUUCUCACAAAAAAUCUUUAAAUUGUUCCAGCAGCUUUUUCCUGGCACCUUAAAACUACUGUUAGUGCCUAUCUCUGAUAACAGUGCAUCUCUAGAGGAAAUCAGUGAAGCAGAGGCACUGAGCAAGAUGACUGCCUAGGAAGAAAAAAAACGCAGAGGAAUGCAACCAGGCUAAGCCUGGCAUAAAUGUCACCAGAAAAGCUGAGAAACUGGAGAAAAGGUCACCUCCUUUCCAAAGACAUGUAAAAAUGAAGACCAGAAAAAGUGCACAAUACUGUUUUACAUAUUUCACCAAUAUACUCCCAUGCAUUAAAGCCAAGCGACCUCAGUGAGGUCCUGGUGAGAUUUGGCAUACAUAUAUUUCAUAUUCAGAACAGGAAAUUGCAAUGCAAUACCAGUGCUCCCAAUCUCUGCAGUAUCAGAGAACUGAUUAAUAAGGGUCACGUGGACAAAGAGUCACUUUAUGCGCCACCCGGUGUAUUUGAGGACAGCUGCUCCAAAAGAUUAAGAUUUGCAACACGGUGCCACCACCCUGCUGCCCUGCCUCAGGUUUUCCACAGCUUUAAUUUCCAGCUGCAGCACCUUAGGAGCCCCAGCAAUGACAAAUGUGUGUAGUUGCUGCCUAAAAUUACUUUUCUCCCAGCUAUGUUGGCCCCUUUCCAUUCCUUGGGGCAGUCAAGCCUGGUUUCAGAGCAAACAUUAUUAUAUCAGAGCAAGCUUACGUUGUUGUCUCAUGAAUCUAGCAAUGCCUGUCUGUGUUAUUUAGGAUUCUUGCU
ensembl:lncRNA